AUGGCCACCGCGCCCGCGCCGACCGCAGCCGCCACCGCGCCCGCCGCCGCCGCCGCGCCCGCCCCGUCCGCGUCGGUGCCGCGCGGUCAGGUGGAUCUGGUCGACUUCAUCGACUGGACCGGCGUCGAGUGCCUCAACCAGGACCCCGCGCACGGCAUCGCCAACGCCCUCAAGCAGGGCUACAGGGAGGAUGAGGGGCUGCACCUCGCCAGCGACUCGGACGAGCAGCUGCUGAUCUACAUCCCCUUCAUGCAGGUCAUCAAGCUGCAUUCCGCGCUCUUCAAAGGCCCCGAGGAAGAAGGCCCAAAGACAGUUAAACUCUUCUCCAACAGAGAGCAUAUGGGUUUCAGCAACGUCAAUGACUUCCCUCCAAGUGAUAGUGUUGACCUGUCAUCCAGCCAUUUACUGGAAAGUAAGCCUGUCACGCUAAAGUAUGUGAAGUUCCAGAAUGUUCGCAGCCUGACUAUGUUUAUCGAAGACAAUCAAAGCGGAGCUGACAUCACAAAAAUUCAGAAGAUCGCGCUUUAUGGAACCACUGUGGACACAACAAAUAUGAAGGACCUGAAGAAGAUAGAAGAACAUUAA
rnacentral:rRNA from 1 species